rnacentral:rRNA from 1 species
UUAAGCGACUAAGCGUACACGGUGGAUGCCCUGGCAGUCAGAGGCGAUGAAGGACGUGCUAAUCUGCGAUAAGCGUCGGUAAGGUGAUAUGAACCGUUAUAACCGGCGAUUUCCGAAUGGGGAAACCCAGUGUGUUUCGACACACUAUCAUUAACUGAAUCCAUAGGUUAAUGAGGCGAACCGGGGGAACUGAAACAUCUAAGUACCCCGAGGAAAAGAAAUCAACCGAGAUUCCCCCAGUAGCGGCGAGCGAACGGGGAGCAGCCCAGAGCCUGAAUCAGUGUGUGUGUUAGUGGAAGCGUCUGGAAAGGCGCGCGAUACAGGGUGACAGCCCCGUACACAAAAAUGCACAUGCUGUGAGCUCGAUGAGUAGGGCGGGACACGUGGUAUCCUGUCUGAAUAUGGGGGGACCAUCCUCCAAGGCUAAAUACUCCUGACUGACCGAUAGUGAACCAGUACCGUGAGGGAAAGGCGAAAAGAACCCCGGCGAGGGGAGUGAAAAAGAACCUGAAACCGUGUACGUACAAGCAGUGGGAGCACGCUUAGGCGUGUGACUGCGUACCUUUUGUAUAAUGGGUCAGCGACUUAUAUUCUGUAGCAAGGUUAACCGAAUAGGGGAGCCGAAGGGAAACCGAGUCUUAACUGGGCGUUAAGUUGCAGGGUAUAGACCCGAAACCUGGUGAUCUAGCCAUGGGCAGGUUGAAGGUUGGGUAACACUAACUGGAGGACCGAACCGACUAAUGUUGAAAAAUUAGCGGAUGACUUGUGGCUGGGGGUGAAAGGCCAAUCAAACCGGGAGAUAGCUGGUUCUCCCCGAAAGCUAUUUAGGUAGCGCCUCGUGAAUUCAUCUCCGGGGGUAGAGCACUGUUUCGGCAAGGGGGUCAUCCCGACUUACCAACCCGAUGCAAACUGCGAAUACCGGAGAAUGUUAUCACGGGAGACACACGGCGGGUGCUAACGUCCGUCGUGAAGAGGGAAACAACCCAGACCGCCAGCUAAGGUCCCAAAGUCAUGGUUAAGUGGGAAACGAUGUGGGAAGGCCCAGACAGCCAGGAUGUUGGCUUAGAAGCAGCCAUCAUUUAAAGAAAGCGUAAUAGCUCACUGGUCGAGUCGGCCUGCGCGGAAGAUGUAACGGGGCUAAACCAUGCACCGAAGCUGCGGCAGCGACGCUUAUGCGUUGUUGGGUAGGGGAGCGUUCUGUAAGCCUGUGAAGGUGUGCUGUGAGGCAUGCUGGAGGUAUCAGAAGUGCGAAUGCUGACAUAAGUAACGAUAAAGCGGGUGAAAAGCCCGCUCGCCGGAAGACCAAGGGUUCCUGUCCAACGUUAAUCGGGGCAGGGUGAGUCGACCCCUAAGGCGAGGCCGAAAGGCGUAGUCGAUGGGAAACAGGUUAAUAUUCCUGUACUUGGUGUUACUGCGAAGGGGGGACGGAGAAGGCUAUGUUGGCCGGGCGACGGUUGUCCCGGUUUAAGCGUGUAGGCUGGUUUUCCAGGCAAAUCCGGAAAAUCAAGGCUGAGGCGUGAUGACGAGGCACUACGGUGCUGAAGCAACAAAUGCCCUGCUUCCAGGAAAAGCCUCUAAGCAUCAGGUAACAUCAAAUCGUACCCCAAACCGACACAGGUGGUCAGGUAGAGAAUACCAAGGCGCUUGAGAGAACUCGGGUGAAGGAACUAGGCAAAAUGGUGCCGUAACUUCGGGAGAAGGCACGCUGAUAUGUAGGUGAAGUCCCUCGCGGAUGGAGCUGAAAUCAGUCGAAGAUACCAGCUGGCUGCAACUGUUUAUUAAAAACACAGCACUGUGCAAACACGAAAGUGGACGUAUACGGUGUGACGCCUGCCCGGUGCCGGAAGGUUAAUUGAUGGGGUUAGCCGCAAGGCGAAGCUCUUGAUCGAAGCCCCGGUAAACGGCGGCCGUAACUAUAACGGUCCUAAGGUAGCGAAAUUCCUUGUCGGGUAAGUUCCGACCUGCACGAAUGGCGUAAUGAUGGCCAGGCUGUCUCCACCCGAGACUCAGUGAAAUUGAACUCGCUGUGAAGAUGCAGUGUACCCGCGGCAAGACGGAAAGACCCCGUGAACCUUUACUAUAGCUUGACACUGAACAUUGAGCCUUGAUGUGUAGGAUAGGUGGGAGGCUUAGAAGUGUGGACGCCAGUCUGCAUGGAGCCGACCUUGAAAUACCACCCUUUAAUGUUUGAUGUUCUAACGUUGACCCGUAAUCCGGGUUGCGGACAGUGUCUGGUGGGUAGUUUGACUGGGGCGGUCUCCUCCUAAAGAGUAACGGAGGAGCACGAAGGUUGGCUAAUCCUGGUCGGACAUCAGGAGGUUAGUGCAAUGGCAUAAGCCAGCUUGACUGCGAGCGUGACGGCGCGAGCAGGUGCGAAAGCAGGUCAUAGUGAUCCGGUGGUUCUGAAUGGAAGGGCCAUCGCUCAACGGAUAAAAGGUACUCCGGGGAUAACAGGCUGAUACCGCCCAAGAGUUCAUAUCGACGGCGGUGUUUGGCACCUCGAUGUCGGCUCAUCACAUCCUGGGGCUGAAGUAGGUCCCAAGGGUAUGGCUGUUCGCCAUUUAAAGUGGUACGCGAGCUGGGUUUAGAACGUCGUGAGACAGUUCGGUCCCUAUCUGCCGUGGGCGCUGGAGAACUGAGGGGGGCUGCUCCUAGUACGAGAGGACCGGAGUGGACGCAUCACUGGUGUUCGGGUUGUCAUGCCAAUGGCACUGCCCGGUAGCUAAAUGCGGAAGAGAUAAGUGCUGAAAGCAUCUAAGCACGAAACUUGCCCCGAGAUGAGUUCUCCCUGACUCCUUGAGAGUCCUGAAGGAACGUUGAAGACGACGACGUUGAUAGGCCGGGUGUGUAAGCGCAGCGAUGCGUUGAGCUAACCGGUACUAAUGAACCGUGAGGCUUAACCUU